rnacentral:tRNA from 1 species
AUGAAUGGGCGGGCCUUGAUCCCACAAAAAAUU